CAAGACUCGAGAGGCGCUGCCCUCCGCUCCUGCAGAUGUUAACCAAUUGGGUGGGCGUGAGGGUAACAAACUAUAUCUUCCUCGAUUAUACCAACAAUACAGAGAUAAUCCAGUCGACGAAAUAGUGGUUAUAAGAAUACGGCCACAGGAGCUACCUGUGAAAUUACCACCCAAGUAUGUGGAUCCCGCUGAAGCCGAGGGAUGUAUAAUGGAGUUAGAGAAGGGAAUAAAGUCGAGAAAAAUGGAUAAGCACUGAACGUGAAUUCUUUACUCAUCAGAUACGCAGCGACGCCAUGAUGGGUGUGGAUCUCCAAUGGAUGACACAUCACGAGGGUGAAAGCGGCUCUACCCCAGCCACUGGUGGGGAUCCUGCACAAACUGCAACCAGGUGACUGGGUGGUGGUGAAAGACCUGAGACGAAAGCAUUGGAACCAGCAGAGGUGGACUGGACCAUACCAGGUGAUGCUGAUUACCCCCACUGCUGUUCGCGUAGCUGAGAGGUCUACUUGGAUCCACGCAUUAUUGGUCAUUUGUCAUCAACAAAAGUUUUACGGGGGGGAUUUGAUUGUUCACAUUGGUGUAGUAGAAUAAUCUUAGAACCUAGAUCCCGUGUACCAGAACCUAUUCAAGUCCAACCCCGGCGAACCCCAUUUAGGACCUGUCAUUGUCACAAUCCCAGCAAUAUUUCCAUACUACAAUUGAAUGAAUCCUAUCUGGGAAUGUCAACAUGUGUCAAUUAUAGUGUUUUCCCAAUAGGAUGUAGCUGGAAGAAGGGAACAUGCAGCUCUGGAUACCCCAUUAGACUGAGGGUGGGACACACCAUUAUUGAUGCUGAAACUGACAAUCGUUCUCCUCAUCAAUUUGGCUCGGCAACAUUUACUGAUCAAUAUUGGAUUUGUGGUGAUAAAGCUUAUCUCUACCUACCCACAAAUUGGACAGGGUGCUGUAUUUUUGGUAAACUAAACAUCUCCCUUGUGGUAAUGUAUAAAACAAAUUCCUCUAUUCCAAGCAGGUUAAGACUGAUUAAGAGGGACAUCUCGCAAUACAAUAAUGUCCCUAGUGACUCUCGAUGAUCCUCGAAAUUGGAAAUGUUCUGGCGUGGUUUAAUCCCCUGGUAUGGGGCAUCGGAGAAUGCACAUGAGUUGGAUAGGCUAGGAUAUCAUUUGGAAUCCCUGGUAAAUUUGACCACUGCAGGGUUUUCUAUGAUAAGACCAGAAUUACAAGCCACUCAACUCAUGGCAACACAAAAUAGGGUGGCACUUGACAUGUUGCUAGCACGUGAAGGAGGGGUGUGUCAAAUUAUAGGAGAUCACUGUUGUACAUUUAUACCCCAGGGAGAUGACAAUUUGACUAUUGUAGUGGAACAUUUGAAAGAGCUUAGGGGUGUUCUCGAAAGGGAACACCAGCCUGACAUCAACUGGAAUCCGUUAGGAUGGGUUCAGUCAGUAUUUGGUGCUUGGGCUGCGACCAUUUUCCACUGGUUCAUCUAUGGUCUAAUAUUACUGAUUGCUCUGUUGCUGAUUAUCAUUUGUGUGAAAAAAUAGUUUAAUAAAGUGGUUGAUGUUGUUCUUACUAUGCCCUUGCUUGCAAAUGAAGUAGGUGUAGAUGAGGAAUCUGAGAUUGAUGGACAACAAUCAGGUGAUCACAGUGAAAUAUUCUCACUGGACAGUGUAGAUAGAGAGGGUUCACUGUAUAUGAAUGAUUUCCCUGACCCAUUCCCUAUUCCUGACUAUAUCUCUGAUAGUGGUGAACCCAAUUCUAAGCAUGAGGACUUAGAGGGAUGACUGUCCUAUAGGUUGUAAUGAUGCCUGUGUUUAGACAUGGGUUCUCUUGUAAUUUUGGGAGCAUUUAUAUGUUUUGUUAUUUUCAUUUUUACUCAACAAAUGUAUUAUUCUAUAUGUUUAAACAGGUGCAAGUCUGUAUUAUGGUAUAAACAUUGUAAACUCAGUUUCUGACGGGUGAAUACUUACAUUGAAGGGAUUUGAUUCUUUAUUAUCUUUAAAUUUUGAUUAUGGAUUUUUAAUUGUAUUAUAUACUCUGCAACUACUAUUAGUAAGGUGCCAUGUUACUAUUCUGAUUCUUCAGAAGGGACUGAGUCCCUUGAGAGGGGAAUGUUGGGGAAUAAUCUGAAUUGGUGGGUAACAUAGAUAAGAUGUUUUAUAUUCAUCAUAUGCUUAUGAGUUAUUUCUCAUAAGAAUGUAUUUUGUUGUACUAUAGUGGUGGCCAUUGGCAGUUAUCUGUUCUAUGUCAAGACUAAGUUGCAUGGGCCGCAGAGAGGGGAGAGGUCAAGGGGUCAUCAUGUGUAAACAUAUCUUUUGCUUUUUUGCUCCACUGUGUUUGUGUGCCAGCCACUCCCUACUUUUCCCAUCGGGGAAAGGAGGAUGGCAGUGUCUGGAAUCAUUCUAUGCUCCCUCUUUGUUGACCUAUAGGGUCACUCUCCUCUUCUUGAGUUUGUCCAGGAUUGGUUGUAUUUAGAAUUGGUUCUAUCUAAAUGACAAUUUGAUAUAUAUCAUAGGGUGGGGGUAAUGUCUUGGUACCAUUUUGUACCAAGGACGAGAUAAGAGCUUUGUUUAGGAGAGCAAACUGAACGAUAAUUUAUAGCCAACUCUGUCUGACUAGGGGAUAUUCCUCUCUGAAGUGAAGUCUUUCUUUGUGUAAGUUCCUAAGACCUGUGUUUUGUCAUGUCGUCUAGGAGGGGGUGGAUCUUUGCUAUAAAGGAACCCAUUUGCCAUUAUGUUGGGGACUCUCAACUUUUCAUUAGAGAUACUGAACUGUUGAAAGUCAAAAUGCUAUUGCAAAAGCUUGAUUAUUAUUAAAAGUGAAGAUUAAGCAUAACUCUGACUCGUGUGAUUUGCUCUCUCAUCAAUUGGUAAUUAAGGAAAUUUCCACGACAGAAGCCAUACACAACGGUAAGCAAACAUAAUUGCGUUUUAUUCGAUGGCAAUUUAAAUGCACAGAGAUACCGUGACAAGAUCCUGAGGCCCAUUGUCAUGCCAUUCAUCUGCCGCCAUCACCUCAUGAUGCACGGCCCCAUGUCGCAAGGAUCUGAACGCAAACAUGAAAAUGUCCCAGUUCUUUCAUGGCCUGCAUACUCACCAGACAUGUCACCCAUUGAGUAUGUUUGGGAUGCUCUGGAUCGACAUGUACGACAGCAUGUUCCAUUUCCCACCAAUAUCCAGCAACUUCGCACAGCCAUCGAAGAGGAGUGGGACAAGAUUCAGGCCCCAAUCAACAGCCUGAUCAACUCAAUGUGAAGGAGAUGUGUCGUUCUGCAUGAGGCAAAUGGUGGUCACACCAGAUACUGACUGGUUUUCUGAUUCACAGACCUACCUUUAUUUUUUCUUCAGGUAUCUGUGACCAACAGAUGCAUAUCUGUACUCCUAGUCAUGUGAAAUCCAUAGAUUAGGGCCUAAUGAAUUUAUUCCCUUAUAUGAAUUGUAACUAUAUUUAUAUAGCAAACCUGACAACACAUCACUCCUGACAUACAGAAGCAAGAACCCUUUUCAGAAAUGUAUGUGAAGAAAACAAGAUGAUUUCUCAGUCUGCUCAACUGAGCUAAUGAUAACCACUGCAGCUACAUAGGUUACAGCCAAUGCGCUCUGUCGCUCUUGCCAGGGUAAACUAAGUGGUAAUGUAAUGUAGCCUAUGUAUAGGCCAUUUAUUUGUUUGGAUCAAAUGUGAAUGUGAUCAAAUUUGGUUAAAUUCCACCUAUUGUAUCUCUGUGUUUACAUGUCUAUAUUUCCAAGAUGUAUGAAGAUAUAAUAGAAAUUCAUAUGAUUUAUAUGUUUAAGGUAAUGUUAAGAUAAUGACUAAAAGUAUUCUACCCUGUCACUGUAUAAUGGAGUGAAAUGUAUUUGAAUCAUAAGACUAGAAUUCUUAUGAUUGUGUGUGCAUAGGACAGGUUAAGACUUACCAUUUAGAAGUAUAGGCGAGACAGUGUGUGCCUAAGAAAAUACCGAGAACAAUUCAACUGUUUGACCCGACCUGGCUAGAACUCAGAGAAACUUAUGAUAGGACAGGGAGUACUUCUCAAUGUUUCUCUAAUCUCAGGGGAAUGGAACUGUCGGCUGGGUAGUGAUACACAGUGGUGAGAACUCUGGAGAAGGAUACAACUCACCUGCUGUUCGUGUGUAUGUAUGUGCGUAGGAUAUCUACUGUUUGUGUGGAAGUAUGUGCGUAAGUAAGGAGCAAGGUAUAAAAAUGGAUGUCUUUGUAUUAUGGACUUCAGAACGUUCUCAUGAAUAAACUGUA